rnacentral:rRNA from 1 species
CAGGAGAGGUAGAGGUAAGUGAGAUUAUUUAUUUUUUAGGCAAGAGAGGCAUCAAACGCUGACAAUAACGCCUCUUCUUCUUUUUUUUUGAACAAGGUGGAGGGCGGCGGAGCAGCGUGGGGCCUAGAGGGAGGUGUCCGCCGCCUAGGAGCAGCGGCAGCCACCCGUAGGAGUGGUGGCUGGCUAGGCCAGGGCACGAAGAUCCGUCCAGACAGGGUGCGGCAGGAGUUGCUACGGAGGGGCGGCGUCGAGGAGGCGGCCUGUGUCAAGUCGCCUCAGGUCGUUCCGCAGUGUUAGUUCACCUUCACUUAGAUGACCACGGUCCUUUUUUGUCGUACCAGGCUAAAGGUAAGGGAUGUGGGAGGUAGCUCCAAUAGAUCUGGCCAGUUGGUCUAACCCGAGAAGCAAAGACCUCUACGGAAGACCAGUCCUCUUAUAGUUUGACUUAUUUCUCUUAAUAGGUGUCGAACAGGAGCAAUAUUUUCUAUUUCUACUAUUAGUUUCUCUCACAGAUUUCUAUUACUUCUUGAAUUGAGUGCUCUUACAUGAACCUCACAUAAAGACCCUUCUCCAACUUUUACUUGGCAUAUAGGAUCAAGUACACCUCGGAAUGUGUCUUAGCCAAAGCUUCUAGCAACGGUUACGAUUUAAAGAACAACUCGCUUACUGUCUUAACCAAGGUAGAGGUCGGAAAGUUCUUUGUCACUCACGUUACUAACGACGGAACUUGAUAUAAUAUCUCUCACCAAUGAUGGUACCCUUAAAUAGUACCGUCUGCUGAAACAUGGUAGUCUAGCGAUUAUUUUCUCAUCAGUUUAACCGCUUGAAGCUUACUUUUCCAGCAAGAAACCUCGUUACGGUCAACCUUCUAAUAUAGAGAGACCCUCGGAGAGAACUCACCCGUAGAGUUUUCCACUUCUUCCUCAUACUACGAACAGUCAGUGUGUGAACGACGUAUUAUCUACUGGAGCGUUUCUAAAACUUUAGACAAUGACACUUUAGAGACGUCUGUUACUUUGAAGUCGAGUUUCUAGUACUCAAGAAAACCCUGUCGUUAUACUUCUUCUAAAAGAAACGGAUACUACAGGGGGUUUAGAAGUUCUUACUACGUCAAUUCGUUUUUAAAGUCCUUAGAAGUAGAUACGGCAGUAAUGGUACCUGCUGUAGUACCUUUGGACCACACUAUGGACUACUCGAAUACUUUGUAUACAACUAAAUGGCGCCUCUCGUACCUGAACGUGGUAUGCUACGUAUGUUACACCUUCUCAAAGAUUCUAAGUAAUCACCCUACAUAAGAGUACUCUUACUUGAGUCCGUCUUCUAAGGACCGGAGCAAGAACUACGACAUCAAGUCCUCUACAUAGGCACAAACACCAUACUAAAUUUUUUUCGGUACGCUCUACGGUUCCUUCUUCGACUAUUACGGUACCGUCACCUGUUAAUUACUCUUUUUCAUCGCCACAGAGUGAGGGAGGGUCCCACGGUUCGGCGCAGAGAUGGUCGGGCGCCCUCCUUUCCGGGGACGGGACGGGACGGAACGGAAUCCUACGGCGUCAGAAAUUGAAUCAACGACAGAUUAAAUCAAUCAAGUAGAGACGCCCGGUUGACACAACUCAGUACCUUGGUCUUCUACCAUACCUGGUCAGGCAGGAACGACCAAACGGUUUCCUAGAGAUAGAUAGAUACAACUUGAGACAACGAGAGACUUCAAAUCCGUCACACACAGCAGACUUUGUUCACAUGCUUUAAGUACGAGAGGCACGAUACACUUACGGCGUGACUAAGUCUUCAGACGGGAUAAAACAAACGAACGCACAACCACAACCAAAAAAAGAAAGUCACAAACAAAAAGG